GUAUGUUUUGGAUGAUAACUUGCCUUAUGUAGCAGAGCAUGCCUAUCUGUCUCCUUAAAGAAGACUUUAGUAGCCAAUGAUUUAGUCUGCCCCUCCGAAGGUACAAAGAAAACCUGAGUGUCUAAAAACUCUAGUUUUUCUCUUUGUAUAUUGUGGGAUAUUGUAAUUGCAGGAUGAUGUGUAUUUAGGGAUUCCAAGAAACACUCAAACUCCCUCAUAGAAUUCACCCAAAUCCCAAAGAUGUCAUCCAAAUACCUAAGAUACAAAGAGGGAAGGGUCUGACACUUCACAAACACUGUCUCCUCCCAAAAACACAUAUAUAGGUUGGCAAAGGCUGGAGCAAACUUCUUCCCCAUGGCCGUUCCAUGGAUCUGAAGGUGUCCAAUGUACUGGGUCCCGUGGCAAUGUGUGAAACCUAAGUUUACUGAUCUCAGGUAAGUAAUUACAUUGCUCUAAAAUCUUUCGAUUAAG
rnacentral:lncRNA from 1 species